rnacentral:rRNA from 1 species
CCCGACUGCUAUUUGGGUGAGAAUAAGCCAUGCGAGUCGAAUGGGAUACCUAAAAUUCCCAUGGCAAACUGCUCAGUAACACAUGAUCAACUUACCCUAUAGAGAAAAAUAACCUCGGGAAACUGAGGACAAUAUUUCAUAGUUGAAUCGGCUUGGAAAAGUUUUUCAAUUAAAGGGAUAAGAAAAAUGGUUCUUAUUCGCUAUAGGAUAGGAUCGUGGACGAUUAUGGUUGUUGGUGAGGUAACGGCUCACCAAGCCGAUAAUCGAUAGGGGCCGUGAGAGCGGGAGCCCCGAGAUGGGUACUGAGACAACGACCCAGGCCUUACGAGGCGCAGCAGGCGCGAAACCUCCGCAAUACACGAAAGUGUGACGGGGUUACCCAAAGUGUUCAAUAGAACUGUGGUAGGUGAGUAAUGUUCCCUACUAGAAAGGAGAGGGCAAGGCUGGUGCCAGCCGCCGCGGUAAAACCAGCUCUUCAAGUGGUCGGGAUAAUUAUUGGGCUUAAAGUGUCCGUAGCCGGUUUAGUAAGUUCCUGGUAAAAUCGGGUAGCUUAACUAUCUAUAUGCUAGGAAUACUACUAUACUAGAGGGCGGGAGAGGUCUGAGGUACUGCAGGGGUAGGGGUGAAAUCUUAUAAUCCUUGUUGGACCACCAGUGGCGAAGGCGUCAGACUGGAACGCGCCUGACGGUGAGGGACGAAAGCCAGGGGAGCGAACCGGAUUAGAUACCCGGGUAGUCCUGGCCGUAAACGAUGCAUACUAGGUGGUGGCACGGCCAUGAGCCGUGUCAGUGCCGUAGGGAAACCGUUAAGUAUGCCGCCUGGGAAGUACGGUCGCAAGGCUAAAAC